GAGGAACCUUUCAAAAAUUAACCUGAGAGCAGCUGGAAAAGGCUAGUCUUACACCUUUUCCUGUGAAUGGGACACAGUCAGGAUCCCCACCGUGCCGGUUUAGCACCCAACACUCUUACACUCUGUGAUGCCAGGCUUUGACCUUGGUAAAGGUUGUGCUGCCUCUCUGCCUGCUGCAGCUGGCUGGCACCUCUGAGAAGGCUGCCACGUCACACCUUGCUGGAGUCGGGGAGAAUGUGGUUAUCUGAUAUAAUUACACAACAUUCAAGUGCAGGAGUGCAGGAAGAAGUGAUAAAAUCAAGAACAGCUUUAAUGAGGCCAGAAAAGGAAGAAAAACUGAGUCAACUCAGAGGAACUUCAAGGUCCUUUUGGUGCUAUUCAAGCAAAGAAAUGGGAAUACUGCUAAAACAGAAGAAGCUGGGCGGAGUCAGAAGGUUGAUUUGGAACUAGCAGAGCAUUCAGUGGUUUCAGCAGGGAGCCCUCAAGUUAGAUGGUGUCAGGAACACAUGGAGGAAUUUGGGAGCUUUGAUGUGGAGAGGAAACGACCAAAUGUCCACACCCGCCCUGCCGCCCAUCAGCUGCCGCUGCGGGUCUCAGCACUGAGACUUAGGUGGGGUUUCACCUCCUCCGGCGGAGUUAAUCCCUCUUCACUUCCAUUUCCUUCCACCCCGACUUUGCUCUUCUCCGUGAAUUUAGUUGGAGCCAGAUCACACACCCCCGCUCCGGGCUCCCCUUCCCUGGAAGCAGGAACUGGAGUGACCCCGGCAAGCCCCAGGAGAAGAGAGAAGCAGCGAGCCCCCGGCGGUCGCCGUGGUUCUGCUGUCGCUGUGCGCCAGCACAAGCAGCAAAUUCCAAGAAGAUGCGAUCAUCAGCAGCUCUGUGAAGACAGGAAAGUGGUUACAAAUGCUCUCUGCCUCAAAGAGAGAGAGAAGAAACAACACUCUGGCUGCAGCUGCACCUCGUGCUUUCUGAUUAAUCUGCUGUUUAGAAACAUUUGCUGUGGUACCCGUGCAUAG
ensembl:lncRNA